UACGUAGGUGGCAAGCGUUAUCCGGAAUUAUUGGGCGUAAAGGGUGCGUAGGCGGUUUAUUAAGUCUAUGGUGAAAGUGUGCGGCUCAACCCCGUAUGUGCAUACAAACUGGUAGACUUGAGUGCUGGAAAGGGAAAAGGAAUUCCAUGUGGAGCGGUAAAAUGCCUAAAUAUAUGGAGGAACACCCAGUGGCGAAGGCGGAUUGUCUGGACUGUAACUGACGCUGAAGCACGAAAGCAUGGGGAGCAAAUAGGAUUAAAUACCCUAGUAGUGCACACCGUUAGUGAUGAAUUAUAUGUGUUGGUGAAAGUCACUGCUGCAGCUAUCGCCAUAAGUAUUGCGGAUGGGGAGUACGCGCGCAAGUGUGAAACUCAUAGGAAUGGACGGGCCCACGCGCAAGCGCUGGAGUAUGUUGUUUAAUUUGCCGCAACGCGAAGAACCGUCCCAGGCCUUGACAUAAUCAGCAAAGGCUUAGAGAUAGGGUGGAGGUGAUCUGGGAUACAGGUGGUGCAUGGUUGUCGUCAGCUCGUGUCGUGAGAUGUUGGGUUAAGUCCCGCAACGAGCGCAACCCUUGUCUUUAGUUACCAUCAUUCAGUUGGGGGCUUUUGAGAGGCUGCCGGUGAUAAGGCGGAGGAAGGUGGGGAUGACGUCAAAUCAUCAUGCCCCUUAUGGCCUGGGCGACACACGUAAUACAAUGGGGUAUACAAAGGGAUGCGAAAGGGCGAGGUGGAGCAAAUCUCUUAAAGUACGUUUCAGUUCAGAUGGGAUUUUCCAACUGGGCUCCAGGAAGGCGGAAUCGUUAGUAUUCGCGGUAUCAGCAUGCCGCGGUGAAUACGUUCUCGGGUUU
rnacentral:rRNA from 1 species